rnacentral:lncRNA from 1 species
GUUGUCUAGGAUGACCAGGUCAUUUCAGGUGAUGACCUUGUACUGAAUCUAGGAUAAUGACAUUAAAAUCACUUGUUUAAGUAUCAUACCUCAAUUUCCUUCCCAAAAAUCACUUACAUUGUAUUUAUGUAUCAUUAUUUUAAUAACCCCCACUAAUUUCAACACCCCUGAACAGUGAAAUUUUUAUCGCGAACAGUAGAAUUUUAUUACAUAAUCUGAAAGAUGAAACCUUGAACUUUACAGGAAAAAUACUCCCACUGCUGGGAAAAAUCUGUUAAGAAAGUAUCAGUUCAUUAUGUAAAGCCAUUAUUAUAGCAUUUUUUCAACUAAAAUAGAAUUUUCAACUACAU